AUCACGCCAUUGCACUCCAGCCUGGGGGAGAAGCGCAAGACUCCAUCUCAAUAAAAGGAAGUGCAGCUUCAUGGUACAGGUUGCCCUGGCCACAGAAGGAAUGGAGGCGUUUCCUGGCUGGGGGAACACACUGAAGGCUCUGAGGCCAACAGGAGCAAACUUGUGGGAGAAACUGCCAGAAGGCUGUGGGGGAAGAGGGGAAUGGCCACAGGGGACAGCACCAUGUAUUUUUAACACUCUGGGAGUGAAAAGUCUCUGGCCAUGGGCUACUUGGUGGUCUCUUGAGGUUGUUCUAUACAGUAAGAGGAGUCUUUUCCCUCCAAAUCUGGUCCCCAUCCUUACACGUGUCUCCAGGAAGCAGCUGAAGCCCAGGUCCCAGAGGGAUAGACCUUGCCCUUAGUUUCAGCACGGCAACGUACAUGAGUGUCCACUUCGGCCUGCACCUCAGCCAGGGAAACGUCUUCAUUGUUGGCCGUGCCUCUAGUGGCAGCCAGCCCAACAAUGCUAGGCUCUCCCCAACAGCAGGCCUUCACUGGCAAGACUCUCUGAACCAAGAUGGACCAUUGCUUUGUGGGGAGCCUGCAUCCUGUUGAGCUAAGUCACACAAACGCAAACUGUGGUGCCCAAGGAGAAGAAAAGGUGCUGAACUGUGCCUCAGAACAGGGGCAUGGUGACCCUGCCUGUAGGAGAGGAGUCUGCCAGGAUGAGGACGGGAGGGGUCUUACUCUCCUGCAAGGUGAGAUGAGGCAGGGUGUGCAGGGACCUGGUGCCCCUGGAAUGCAGAGAUGGUGUGGGGGUUGAGGCCUGGAAGUUCUCUCCCAGCCUCAGCCUCAGCCUCAGCCUCAAGGAAACCACCCCUCCCCUUGGCCUGCCUCUUCCUUCUUCCAGAGACCACCCCUGGGGAUGAAGGACACCAGCCCUCCGGUGGCAUCAGUGCCACCAGAGGCCAGCAGAGGGGUCAGAGCACAGGGCUUCCACUGUUGCCUCUGCCAUCGCCUGCCUCCAGGUAAGUUCUUGCAGUUUUCUGAGCCUCCGUUUGCUGACCUGUAAAAUGAGGCUACUGAGCUGCUCUUAGGAUUUCGGGAUGAAGGCGCCAUCACAGAACUGCAUUCCCUCUCCCUCCAGCUCCAAAAACUGAAUUCCGCCAAGGCGUAGAGCAGCUCUUAAGCCCAAGUUCACUGGGAUCACUACUGAAAGUGACAGGAGGCAGCCAAGUGUCUAGGCAGAUAGGGACAGGUCCCAGUGAAACCCCACCUUCAAGCCAAAAAUAGCCCAAAAGCUGAAAGACCAGACUGCUGGUCCUGGAGGAAACCCACCACCCAGAGUGAGAACUUCUGUUCCUGUUUGCCCACCCUUUCCUGGUUGAUUCUUUCUGAACAAUGCCUUUUAACCAGUCGAAUGUUGCCCUUUCUGAUACUAUCUAUGGCCUGCCCCUCCCCUAUUCUGAGCCUAUAAAAUCCUACAUGUCUACUGACAGCAAACUCAUUUCCAGGACCAUGUUAGAUGGGAAGACGCGUGGCUGUCAGCUGCUUCGGUUGUCACCUUGUCCUUUCAGAUUUAAUUAAAACUGGCUGCUCAGCACUCAGCCCACACGGGGAGAAGCCAGGUUGCCGCUGGCCCGUAUGGCACCGGAUGGAUGGGGCCAAAGGUGCCAGUGGAUGGGUGAGGACGAACUCAUGGGAUAAAGCCUGUGACCCCAGGGAAGAACUAAGCCACAUUCGUGGAGCUGCAGGACCCGGCCGCCUGGAUGGAGGGGAGGGGCCAGAAAGCAGCUGCUCACUGGCCUCGUCCAGUCCUUCCCCUCUAACAGUGACGGUAACAGGUGUGAGGCUGCAGAGGCCUCCUGGAGCGGACGGACGCCCUCUGGCCCAGCCAUGGCAUCACAGCACCGAGUGCAAACCCCUCCUGUCCUCACAGGCUGGGGCUGGGGCUGGGGCUGGGUGCCUGGGUGCGAGGCGACUAGAAAUUCUGCAUCCCCUGCGAGGGUUUGUGGUGAACAGCCUGGGCUCCGGACAGGCUGGGCAGACAGAACUGUCUGUCUGUGCAAGUUUCUUCGUCUGUAAAAUGGGCCUGCAGUCUGCUCCUUCCUGGGCCUUCGGGAAGGACUUGGUGGACAGUGUCAGGGGACAGUGAGUGCGUGGGUGCUCCGGCGAGCACCGGCUUCCUCCUGCAGCACUGAGGGUCAGUGAUGCUCCCCUGCCCUGCUCAUCCCUCCCUCACCCUAGACCUGCCCCCACCACUGCUAAGGCCCAGUAAGGACAGGGGCAUAUCAGAUGUGGGGGACCUGUCCCGGGACCACGCUCCUGGGGGGAAUGGGGUGGGCAGGCCCUGUGGACUCCCCUUCUACCAGACUAGGCCGCUGCUCCCAGCCACACCCCUCCUACGCCCUGCUCAGGCCAGUGGCUUCUCCUCUCUGAGUGGGACAGUGGGGGAGAUGCCCCGGCCUCUAGUCUCUGCUCCUCUCCUCUGUAACAGCUGUCCCCUCCUAAGCUCAGUUCCCUAUACCAAGCAACAUAAACCCCUGAACUCAUGGGAACGGGGACCCUGUCCCAGCUCGGUGAGCAUCACCUGUCUGCUCCCUGCUCCCAGGGCAGCAUCCUACGGAGGCCUCUGGCCCCACCCAAGCUCCCCACCACCCCCAUGUGUCUGGAGCCACCAGACUGGUUUCUGGGCACAGGCCUCUUGCCAUCACCCAACCCCGUGGAUCGCCCUCUGUGGCUGGGUGCUGGGAGCCUCCCAGGGCUCAUGCCUGAUGCGGGGGAACCAUGCAGGCUGCCAGGUAGCCUGGCCAGUGUGCGGCAGGGGUGUCAGGGAAGGCGUCCCAGGGGAGAGGCAAUGUCCGGGAGACCCUCUGAAUGGCAACAAACACCUGGAUUUCCUUCAAUGACCAGGAUUCCCCUGCUAGGGUUGUCGGGAGAGGGUGGAAUGAGGGUGGAGUCCGGCCAAGGAAGGGCCGGGACAGGACUGCGGACAGGAGCUGAGGAGGGCAGGAACCAGUGGCCCUGGGGGCUCCUGCCCUGUGUCCCGCAGGGAAGCAGACCCCACUUCUAUCCACUCUGGCUCUUCCACUGUCCUACCCUGGUCUCAGCCCUCCAAAACCAAGACCCUCCACAACCCAGGCUUGGCCAAAGCACUUUCCUGGCCCCAGAGCACAGCCUCUGGAGCACCGGGAGCAGCCGCUCUGACCUCUGACUCCCCGCACCAGAGCAGACGGCAAAGGGGAGUGCUAUGGCCUGUGGUCAAGGUCAAGCCCUGAC